CGGUGUUCUCAGGGCGGGGCGAAAUUCCCCACCGGCGGUAGCGAGAGAAACCUCGAAGCCCGCGAGCGCUCUGGAGCUUACGCUCCAGGGGUCAGCAGAUCCGGUCGAAUUCCGGAGCCGACGGUCACAGUCCGGAUGGAAGAGAGCAAGC
rnacentral:ncRNA from 2 species